GACGAACGCUGGCGGCGUGCCUAAUACAUGCAAGUUGAGCGAUCAAGGUUGGUACUUGUACCAACUGGAUUAGCAGCGAACGGGUGAGUAACGCGUGGGUAAUCUGCCUUUGAGCGGGGGACAACAUUUGGAAACGAGUGCUAAUACCGCAUAAAAACUUGAAACACAAGGUUUAAGAUUGAAAGAUGCAAUUGCAUCCCUCAAUGAAGAUCCCGCGUUGGAUUAGCUAGGUGGUGAGGUAAAGGCUCUCCCAGGCGAUGAUACAUAGGCGACCUGGGAGGGUGGUCCGCCACAUCGGGACUGAGACACGGCCCAAACUCCUUCGGGAGGCAGCAGUAGGGGAUCUUCGGCCAUGGACGAAAGUCUGACCGAGCCACGCCGCGUGAGUGGAGAAGGUUUUCGGAUCGGAAAACUCUGUUGGUAGAGAAGAACGUUGGUGAGAGUGGACAGCUCACCAAGUGACGGUAACUACCCAGAAAGGGACGGCUAACUACGUG
rnacentral:rRNA from 1 species